rnacentral:rRNA from 1 species
UGUCCCAGCCGCCGCGGUAAUACAGAGGGUGCAAGCGUUAAUCGGAUUUACUGGGCGUAAAGCGCGCGUAGGCGGCUAAUUAAGUCAAAUGUGAAAUCCCCGAGCUUAACUUGGGAAUUGCAUUCGAUACUGGUUAGCUAGAGUGUGGGAGAGGAUGGUAGAAUUCCAGGUGUAGCGGUGAAAUGCGUAGAGAUCUGGAGGAAUACCGAUGGCGAAGGCAGCCAUCUGGCCUAACACUGACGCUGAGGUGCGAAAGCAUGGGGAGCAAACAGGAUUAGAUACCCUGGUAGUCCAUGCCGUAAACGAUGUCUACUAGCCGUUGGGGCCUUUGAGGCUUUAGUGGCGCAGCUAACGCGAUAAGUAGACCGCCUGGGGAGUACGGUCGCAAGACUAAAACUCAAAUGAAUUGACGGGGGCCCGCACAAGCGGUGGAGCAUGUGGUUUAAUUCGAUGCAACGCGAAGAACCUUACCUGGCCUUGACAUAGUAAGAACUUUCCAGAGAUGGAUUGGUGCCUUCGGGAACUUACAUACAGGUGCUGCAUGGCUGUCUCAGCUCGUGUCGUGAGAUGUUGGGUUAAGUCCCGCAACGAGCGCAACCCUUUUCCUUAUUUGCCAGCGAGUAAUGUCGGGAACUUUAAGGAUACUGCCAGUGACAAACUGGAGGAAGGCGGGGACGACGUCAAGUCAUCAUGGCCCUUACGGCCAGGGCUACACACGUGCUACAAAGGUCGGUACAAAGGGUUGCUACCUAGCGAUAGGAUGCUAAUCUCAAAAAGCCGAUCGUAGUCCGGAUUGGAGUCUGCAACUCGACUCCAUGAAGUCGGAAUCGCUAGUAAUCGCGGAUCAGAAUGCCGCGGUGAAUACGUUCCCGGGCCUUGUACACACCGCCCGUCACACCAUGGGAGUUUGUUGCACCAGAAGUAGCUAGCCUAACUGCAAAGAGGGCGGUUACCACGGUGUGGCCGAUGACUGGGGUGAAGUCGUAACAAGGUAACCA